rnacentral:rRNA from 1 species
GAUGAACGCUGGCGGCGUGCCUAAUACAUGCAAGUCGAGCGAACAGACGAGGAGCUUGCUCCUCUGACGUUAGCGGCGGACGGGUGAGUAACACGUGGAUAACCUACCUAUAAGACUGGGAUAACUUCGGGAAACCGGAGCUAAUACCGGAUAAUAUAUUGAACCGCAUGGUUCAAUAGUGAAAGACGGUUUUGCUGUCACUUAUAGAUGGAUCCGCGCCGCAUUAGCUAGUUGGUAAGGUAACGGCUUACCAAGGCAAGGAUGCGUAGCCGACCUGAGAGGGUGGUCGGCCACACUGGAACUGAGACACGGUCCAGACUCCUACGGGAGGCAGCAGUAGGGAAUCUUCCGCAAUGGGCGAAAGCUUGACGGAGCAACGCCGCGUGAGUGAUGAAGGUCUUCGGAUCGUAAAACUCUGUUAUUAGGGAAGAACAAAUGUGUAAGUAACUAUGCACGUCUUGACGGUACCUAAUCAGAAAGCCACGGCUAACUACGUG